GCGAUGCGCCGGGAGCCGAGGCGGCGUUCCACGCAAUUAUGGCAGCUACUAUACAGAUGUCUUUGACCGGUGAUCUAAUGACCCAUUAUGGUGAGCAUCAAGCUGGCGGUCCGCCACAAGGCCAGCUACCACCUGUCCCAGAACCUGCUUCUCAGUGCACCCCCAUGAUAUGAGUGUCCACUUGAAAAGGGAGAGACUGUAGUACCAGCAAAUUGGACAGGAGCUUCUGUGCCUUUGGGUCAAAGCCAAAUACUUUAUUUUCACCAGAUACACCCACAACCAGAAUCGCUUCAUCACAGCUCAACAUCAAGCUUCACAUCGCAGAGUGAAUGUGUUGGUAAGGCUUAAAACCACGCUCUUUCCGCAAGUCACACAAGUUUUCCAGACUACAAUCUCUUCAUCACAGCUCAGGACAACUUAUGAGGUCUGGCUAUGAGUAUUAGAAUGACAUAUGAGUUCGGAACAUGAGGACAGGAUAGGUGGUCUGGAUCAUGAGGAUGGGAUAUGAGGUCGGACUAUGAGGACAAGAGCAUUAUUGUUGCGUUUUCUCUCCCACAAGGUUUAGGUUGAAAGACUGGGCAACACUAGGUACUCUGCUAGUACCUUAUAAAAUCAGAAGAGUACAGAAGACAUACCCUACGGAGGAUACAUGCAGGAGAGAAGGCCCACCAGCAGGAUAUUAUAAGAAGUGAUGAGCUAUAGCAUAGCACCAAGGAGGAACUUCUAAACAAUCCCCUGGGGCAUCUUAAAAGGAGCUCCUGUGUAAUUAUUUUUUGCUAUUCAAAGCAUGCCAGUUUGAUGACCUAUAACAGCCCAUCUAAGUGGCCCAUGACUGCUUUCAGGUGAUCCCAUUUAUUAUUGUAGACUCAGACUAUGGCCACUUUCACUCAGCAGUGUUUUGGCCAGUAUUAUGCAUCAGUAUCUGUAAGCCAAAAAACAAAAAGAGGUCGAAAACACAUAAGAGAUACAAAUCAUUAUACUUUGUAAAUGCUCCAUUUGUGGUUUUGCCUUACAAAUACUGAUGGGAAAACCUUUAUUUUGUGUACUGGGAGUAAUUUAAAGAUCACUAGGAAGAGAUACAAAAAUAGUAAAUGCCAAAAUGUUAUUUAUAGCGUGAAUAACUGUAGUAAAGAAUUGGAUUUCCAUUAUAGUCUUGGUAUAUUACAGUGGCUGAAUUCUAUAUCUCAAAUUGUGAUACAUGAAAAAUAGUGAUAUAAUUUGUAAAAUAAAAAAAAAACUAAAUACUGGAUGGUAAGGAAUAAAUGUGAACAAAAUGUGGAGCUCACAACAAAAGAACACGAG